AACCCAGUGUGAUUCGUCACACUAUCAUUAACUGAAUCCAUAGGUUAAUGAGGCGAACCGGGGGAACUGAAACAUCUAAGUACCCCGAGGAAAAGAAAUCAACCGAGAUUCCCCCAGUAGCGGCGAGCGAACGGGGAGCAGCCCAGAGCCUGAAUCAGUGUGUGUGUUAGUGGAAGCGUCUGGAAAGGCGUGCGAUACAGGGUGACAGCCCCGUACACAAAAAUGCACAUGCUGUGAGCUCGAUGAGUAGGGCGGGACACGUGGUAUCCUGUCUGAAUAUGGGGGGACCAUCCUCCAAGGCUAAAUACUCCUGACUGACCGAUAGUGAACCAGUACCGUGAGGGAAAGGCGAAAAGAACCCCGGCGAGGGGAGUGAAAAAGAACCUGAAACCGUGUACGUACAAGCAGUGGGAGCACGCUUAGGCGUGUGACUGCGUACCUUUUGUAUAAUGGGUCAGCGACUUAUAUUCUGUAGCAAGGUUAACCGAAUAGGGGAGCCGAAGGGAAACCGAGUCUUAACUGGGCGUUAAGUUGCAGGGUAUAGACC
rnacentral:rRNA from 1 species